rnacentral:rRNA from 1 species
AACGAACGCUGGCGGCAGGCUUAACACAUGCGAGUCGAGCGCCCCGCAAGGGGAGCGGCAGACGGGUGAGUAACGCGUGGGAACUUACCUUUUGGUUCGGAACAACUCCGGGAAACUGGAGCUAAUACCGGAUAAGCCCUAACGGGGAAAGAUUUAUCGCCGAAAGAUCGGCCCGCGUCUGAUUAGCUAGUUGGUGAGGUAACGGCUCACCAAGGCGACGAUCAGUAGCUGGUCUGAGAGGAUGAUCAGCCACACUGGGACUGAGACACGGCCCAGACUCCUACGGGAGGCAGCAGUGGGGAAUAGUGGACAAUGGGCGCAAGCCUGAGCCAGCCAUGCCGCGUGAGUGAUGAAGGCCUUAGGGUUGUAAAGCUCUUUUGUCCGGGAAGAUAAUGACUGUACCGGAAGAAGAAGCCCCGGCUAACUUCGUG